UCCGUCAUAGCUCAGUUGGUAGUAGCGCAUGACUGUUAAUCAUGAUGUCGUAGGUUCGAGUCCUACUGGCGGAG
rnacentral:tRNA from 1 species